AUAAUGGGUCAGCGACUUAUAUUCUGUAGCAAGGUUAACCGAAUAGGGGAGCCGAAGGGAAACCGAGUCUUAACUGGGCGUUAAGUUGCAGGGUAUAGACCCGAAACCCGGUGAUCUAGCCAUGGGCAGGUUGAAGGUUGGGUAACACUAACUGGAGGACCGAACCGACUAAUGUUGAAAAAUUAGCGGAUGACUUGUGGCUGGGGGUGAAAGGCCAAUCAAACCGGGAGAUAGCUGGUUCUCCCCGAAAGCUAUUUAGGUAGCGCCUCGUGAAUUCAUCUCCGGGGGUAGAGCACUGUUUCGGCAAGGGGGUCAUCCCGACUUACCAACCCGAUGCAAACUGCGAAUACCGGAGAAUGUUAUCACGGGAGACACACGGCGGGUGCUAACGUCCGUCGUGAAGAGGGAAACAACCCAGACCGCCAGCUAAGGUCCCAAAGUCAUGGUUAAGUGGGAAACGAUGUGGGAAGGCCCAGACAGCCAGGAUGUUGGCUUAGAAGCAGCCAUCAUUUAAAGAAAGCGUAAUAGCUCACUGGUCGAGUCGGCCUGCGCGGAAGAUGUAACGGGGCUAAACCAUGCACCGAAGCUGCGGCAGCGACGCUUAUGCGUUGUUGGGUAGGGGAGCGUUCUGUAAGCCUGCGAAGGUGUGCUGUGAGGCAUGCUGGAGGUAUCAGAAGUGCGAAUGCUGACAUAAGUAACGAUAAAGCGGGUGAAAAGCCCGCUCGCCGGAAGACCAAGGGUUCCUGUCCAACGUUAAUCGGGGCAGGGUGAGUCGACCCCUAAGGCGAGGCCGAAA
rnacentral:rRNA from 1 species